rnacentral:rRNA from 1 species
AGAGUUUGAUUCUGGCUCAGGACGAACGCUGGCGGCGUGCUUAACACAUGCAAGUCGAACGGAAAGGCCCUGCUUUUGUGGGGUGCUCGAGUGGCGAACGGGUGAGUAACACGUGAGUAACCUGCCCUUGACUUUGGGAUAACUUCAGGAAACUGGGGCUAAUACCGGAUAGGAGCUCCUGCUGCAUGGUGGGGGUUGGAAAGUUUCGGCGGUUGGGGAUGGACUCGCGGCUUAUCAGCUUGUUGGUGGGGUAGUGGCUUACCAAGGCUUUGACGGGUAGCCGGCCUGAGAGGGUGACCGGCCACAUUGGGACUGAGAUACGGCCCAGACUCCUACGGGAGGCAGCAGUGGGGGAUAUUGCACAAUGGGCGGAAGCCUGAUGCAGCAACGCCGCGUGCGGGAUGACGGCCUUCGGGUUGUAAACCGCUUUCGCCUGUGACGAAGCGUGAGUGACGGUAAUGGGUAAAGAAGCACCGGCUAACUACGUGCCAGCAGCCGCGGUGAUACGUAAGGUGCGAGCGUUGUCCGGAUUUAUUGGGCGUAAAGGGCUCGUAGGUGGUUGAUCGCGUCGGAAGUGUAAUCAUGGGGCUUAACCCUGAGCGUGCUGUCGAUACAAGGUUGACUUGACGAAGGUAGGGGAGAAUGGAAUUCCUGCUCGCAGCGGAGGAAUGCGAACAUAUCAGGAAGAACACCGAGUGGCAGAAGGCGGUUCUCUGGGCCUUUCCUGACGCUGAGGAGCGAAAGCGUGGGGAGCGAACAGGCUUAGAUACCCUGGUAGUCCACGCUGUAAACGGUGGGUACUAGGUGUGGGGUCCAUUCCACGGGUUCCGUGCCGUAGCUAACGCUUUAAGUACCCCGCCUGGGGAGUACGGCCGCAAGGCUAAAACUCAAAGGAAUUGACGGGGCCCCGCACAAGCGGCGGAGCAUGCGGAUUAAUUCGAUGCAACGCGUAGAACCUUACCUGGGUUUGACAUGGAUCGGGAGUGCUCAGAGAUGGGUGUGCCUCUUUUGGGGUCGGUUCACAGGUGGUGCAUGGCUGUCGUCAGCUCGUGUCGUGAGAUGUUGGGUUAAGUCCCGCAACGAGCGCAACCCUUGUUCACUGUUGCCAGCACGUUAUGGUGGGGACUCAGUGGAGACCGCCGGGGUCAACUCGGAGGAAGGUGGGGAUGACGUCAAGUCAUCAUGCCCCUUAUGUCCAGGGCUUCACGCAUGCUACAAUGGCUGGUACAGAGAGUGGCGAGCCUGUGAGGGUGAGCGAAUCUCGGAAAGCCGGUCUCAGUUCGGAUUGGGGUCUGCAACUCGACCUCAUGAAGUCGGAGUCGCUAGUAAUCGCAGAUCAGCAACGCUGCGGUGAAUACGUUCCCGGGGCUUGUACACACCGCCCGUCAAGUCAUGAAAGUUGGUAACACCCGAAGCCGGUGGCCUAACCGUUGUGGGGGAGCCGUCGAAGGUGGGACUGGUGAUUAGGACUAAGUCGUAACAAGGUAGC